rnacentral:rRNA from 1 species
GACGAACGCUGGCGGCGUGCUUAACACAUGCAAGUCGAACGGAAAGGCCCUGCUUUUGUGGGGUGCUCGAGUGGCGAACGGGUGAGUAACACGUGAGUAACCUGCCCUUGACUUUGGGAUAACUUCAGGAAACUGGGGCUAAUACCGGAUAGGAGCUCCUGCUGCAUGGUGGGGGUUGGAAAGUUUCGGCGGUUGGGGAUGGACUCGCGGCUUAUCAGCUUGUUGGUUGGGUAGUGUCUUACCAAGGCUUUGACGGGUAGCCGGCCUGCGAGGGUGACCGGCCACAUUGGGACUGAGAUACGGCCCAGACUCCUCCGGGAGGCAGCAGUGGGGAAUAGUGCACGAUGGGCGGAAGCCUGAUGCAGCACCGCCGCGUGCGGGAUGACGGCAUUCGGGUUGUAAACCGCAUUCGCCUGUGACGAAGCGUGAGUGACGGUAAUGGGUAAAGAAGCACCGGCUAACUACGUG